GACGAACGCUGGCGGCGUGCUUAACACAUGCAAGUCGAGCGGUAAGGCCCUUUCGGGGGUACGACGAGCGGCGAACGGGUGAGUAACACGUGGGUGACCUGCCCUCAGCUCUGGGAUAAGCCUGGGAAACUGGGUCUAAUACUGGAUAUGACUCCACGGUGCAUGUCGUGGGGUGGAAAGCCUUGUGCGGCUGAGGAUGGGCCCGCGGCCUAUCAGCUUGUUGGGGGGGUGAUGGCCUACC
rnacentral:rRNA from 1 species